GAUGAAGAACGCAGCGAAAUGCGAUACGUAAUGUGAAUUGCAAAUUCAGUGAAUCAUCGAGUCUUUGAACGCACAUUGCGGCCCCUGGUAUUCCGGGGGGCAUGCCUGUCCGAGCGUCAUUGCUGCCCUCAAGCACGGCUUGUGUGUUGGGCCCCGUCCUCCGAUCCCGGGGGACGGGCCCGAAAGGCAGCGGCGGCACCGCGUCCGGUCCUCGAGCGUAUGGGGCUUUGUCACCCGCUCUGUAGGCCCGGCCGGCGCUUGCCGAUCAACCCAAAUUUUUAUCCAGGUUGACCUCGGAUCAGGUAGGGAUACCCGCUGAACUUAAGCAUAUCAAUAAGCGGAGGA
rnacentral:misc_RNA from 1 species